ensembl:lncRNA
UAUUGCAGCCAGAAUGAGAUUUUAUUUUAAACAAGGGACGGGAAAACAGCAGCGUUCCAAGGGGGAACUGUUGACAUCGGCACUGUUGCACCUGGGUCACUUUAGGGGGAGGGAAACCGCGGCACCCCAGAUGUAACCUGGAGGCCGGAAUGUGUCAAGUGUCUUCAUUGCUGCGCAUUAUCUCCUGUACUUUACAGGUGGAGAUGUGUGGAUACGUAAGAACACUGGAGAGAGGACAAGAGAAAUUCUCAACACAUGGCAACUCAUAUAAGACGUAACAUCUGUGAAUGAUACAGUAUUCUGAGCACAACAUGCUGUUAAAGAUGUUCAGAGGGAGAUGAUGCCACAUCUGGUCCAGCCGAUGGAAGGUCUUGAAGUUCUCUGACUGGCCUCUACUGAAGAUGGUCGUCUCACUGGAUUUAAGGUUCAGAUGCUCAGUAACAAACUCCACCAAUGAGCCAACAGGGAAGCUUUAGGUUUAUUAAAUGUUGCUAUGAAGGUUUCGCUGUUUUUCUUUGUGAAUGCAAUGAGCUCCAACUGAAACUUGAAUUAGAACUUAGAAGUAAAUCCUUCCAUCUGAAAGGAUUUAGUUGCAUUAAUAACCUCAUAACAUUCUAAUUUUUAUUCCAGUCUUAGUUGGAAAUAGAAUCUCUGUAUUGAUUCAGGUAAAAACUGAACUUCACAGAAUGUUGGAGCAAAACAACCAGAUGAAAACUGUGAUGGUGUUGGAUUGUCAGACCGUAAUGUUGCAGCUCAAAGCAGCUUUUCUAUCUCAGUUCAUUCUGACAUUCAGCUAUGAAUCAACACACUCACAUCUCCUGAUUUAAUGGAGCUGCUUUGCACUUUUUACACUGUUUAUUCACCAACACUUUAUUUAAUAAAAGUCCCAUCUAGUUUUUAUGAGGAAUGUGAUGUUUUAAUUUCUCUGUGAAUAACUGCAGUCUAAUGUAACAGCUGGAAU